rfam:Triticum aestivum genome assembly, contig: Triticum_aestivum_CS42_TGACv1_scaffold_030971_1BL
UUUGUACUCCCUCCGUCCAAAAAUACUUGUCAAAAAAAAUGAAUGUAUCUAGACAUAUUUUAAUUCUAGGUACAUUCAUUUUUAUCUAUUUUCUGACGAGUAUUUCCGGACGGAGGGAGUACUCC